UUAACUGACAACCAUUUCCCAUGAUGCUCUGUGGGCUGUCAAGCUGUCUGUCAAGCUGUCAGCUGACCAACUGUUCCCAUGGUUCUUUUAGACUUCCGUAUGAUAAAUUGAAAGGCCCCGUUAUCUGUCUGUUGUGAAGGGGAGCUGUCUGGGCUUUGAUAAGAUAUCACUUCUCCCAGGUGAGAGGUGUCUGACAGCAGGCUGGAGCAAAUCAACACCUCGGAGCUGAGCCAGGGGCAAGAAGCCGGGCGGCCACAGUUUAUAGACCACACUGGAUACUGUUUGCUACUUUUCUUUGUACAGAAGUUCCAGACUCAUCCUUCCAAGGUGCCAGCAGUUAUUUCUCUUUCUAGCUUUCAAAUAACAACUGCUACUCUUUUCACCAUGGAGAGAGAGCCUUAAAGCUGACAACAAAGUUUGUGAGCUUGGGUUCCCGGCACACAGGCUGCCCUCCUCCCGUCCACCAGCUCCUGUUCCCUGAUGUCACACUUACCCACCUUCCAGAAGAGACACAAAGGAGGAGCAGCUUCAUGGACCUGCAAGAUGGCUUGGCAGAUCGAAUCGUGACAACUGACUUCCAUCCCCUGAGCUCACACGGAGAAAGACACUCCCUCCAGGGCUGCUCCAUAACCUCUGUGUGUAGGCCACGACAUGUGCACCCUCAUAAAUAAACAGAUGUAAAAUUUUGAAACAAAA